CCAAACGUUGAAACAAUUGGAAAUUAGAAAUAUUACAGCAGAGGCUUCUGUGGGGCCCUCUAUAAUCCAACAAACUUUCGUCAUGUCAGAAGUCCGAGGAAAGACGUUUAAGAUGUUGCAUCUGGAAAACACUGAUAAGAGAAUGAGACCAGUAAAUCACAUACGCAUUAAGGCUCUGCUGUUCCUAUCUCUACGUGGGAGUAACGCACUGAAGAGCUGAAAUUAUGGAAUCCCAAGACAAAAGCCGCCACUUCCAGCCAACCCCAUUGUUACAUAGAGGGGAGAGUGGAAGGGAAAAGUAACCCAGUCAAACAUAAAGGCAAUAAAUAUUCCCCAGGACACAACCAAGAUAG
rnacentral:lncRNA from 1 species